CAAAUUGAGAGUUAUUGCUUAUGCCAGCAGAGGACUCUCCAGCUGCGAGCGAAAAUAUCCCACACAUAAGCUCGACUUUUUAGCCCUCAAGUGGGCUGUCACAGAGAAGUUUUUCGACUAUCUAUGGUGUGAAAUUCACAAUUGUGACAGAUAACAACCCGCUUACAUAUGUUUUGACAUCUGCCAAACUCGAUGCAGCCAACAUCGUUGGCUUUCCGCCCAGUUUGACUUUAACAUCAUUGCUCGUUUUGUGCUGGAUGGCAAAGAGCCUGAUUUCCCAGCUGAAGCAGUAAAGGCCAUGUGCCAGAGACACCAGAUCAUUCAAGCCUCUGAUGCAGAGCCAGCAAUAACUGAAUUUCCCAUCUCUGUUGAGUGUCUUGCCAUCGACGCAGCUGCCAUCCCUGCAGAGUUUUGUCAAACCGAUCUACUCCCUGGAUCAUGUGCGCUGCCCCAGAUGUCACAACAAGACUGGGCACUGGAACAGAGAAAUGACCCUGUCUCAGUAUAGUGAUAUCCAUCCUUAAGACAGGAAAUGUCAUACAGAGCUAGACAGCGGGAAGACAGAGAAGUCCAGCUGAUGUUGAGGGUGAUGGACUAACUAGUCUUGAACAAUGAGGUUCUGUACAGGAAGCGAAUUACCCUGGGAGGACCCUCAUACCAACUUGUUCUUCCAAAGGGCUUUAGAAAAUCAGCGCUUGAGGGUCUCUAUGAUGCUAAUGGGCACAUGGGCAUGGAAAGGACCAUAGACCUGGUCCGCACACACUUCUAUUGGCCACGUAUGGCAAUGGAUGUAAAUGAAAAGAUCAGGACCUGUGAGAGGUGUACAGGAGAAAAGCUCGAGCUGAACGGAGUGCCCCUCCGGUGAAUAUCAAGAUGAGUUGCCCUUUAGAACUAGUCUGUAUAGACUAUCUUUCAUUGGAACCAGACGGAAGAGGAACUAAGAACAUCUUAGUUAUUACUGAUCAUUUAACAAAAUAUGUUUCAAAGGCUCUGUGGAACAACUUUUUCAUUCAUUAUGGAUUUCCGGAGCGAUUGCACAGCAACCAAGGCCGCGAUUUUGAGUCCACCUUGAUCAAAGAAUUGUGCUUGCUACUUGGCAUAAAAAAGACAAGGACAACACCAUGUCAUCCCCUUGGAAAUCCCAUGGAGCGAUUCAAUCACACCCUCCUGGAGAUGUUGGGAACACUUGAGGAGGAGGACAAAGUCAAAUGGAGGGAUUUUGUGCAGCCCUUAGUUCAUGCUUAUAACUGCACCAAAAACGACACCACUGGAUUCUCUCCUUAUCAGCUGAUGUUUGGCAGACAACCAUGCCUACCAAUUGACAUUGCUUUUGGACUGAACCCUGAGGGAUACAGCAAAGUACCUCACUCUGAAAAUGUCAAGAGUUUGAGGGAAAAUCUUCAGGAAAGCUAAAAACUUGCUGCAGAAAACAGUCUGAAGACUGCGCUACAGAACAAGCAAAGGUUUGACAGUAAAGUCAGAGUCCAUCUUGGCAGCCGGAGAUCGGGUCUUGGUAAGGAAUGUUGGCAUUCGAGGGAAGCAUAAAAUCGCUAAUCGCUGGAGUGAAACCAUCUACACUGUUGUCAAACAGAUUAAAGAUUCUCCUGUCUGUGUUGUACCAGAAACUGGCGACGGCCCUGAAAGAGUGUUAAAUAGAGACUUACUCUUGCCUUGUGGGUUCCUCCCACUUACAGUUGGGGAAGUAGAUCGUCAUAGACCAGAAGCAUCACAGGAGCCUGAUUGUUCACUACACACUUCACUCAUGAAGUUAGAGAUGAUGAGGAGAUGUCAAUGCCUGAAAGUGAGGAUGAGGUUGAGUAUUACUUCCCUCAGUCCCAGUGCUUAGAUGAGACAGUAGUUAUAGAACGUAACCGUGGACAACAGAGCAGAGCCAAACAAAAUGAUCCAAGACUAGAGAGAGGACCUGCUGAACCUGAUUAACCAGUGGAAGGUGAAGUCCAGUUGGAAGUCACAUUUACCCCAGAGAGCAAGGAAGUCGAGUAAGGCCUAGAAGUGCCUCCCUUAAUCCUGAAGCUCCAAUAUUUCAACCUGCCAAUUGAUGAAAAUUUGGAAUGAAAUCAAGUGCAAUGCUUACCUGCAGAUCAGAGUGUUGGAAUUGAAGCUGAGGGACAUGCGCCUGAAACUCUAACCACCAGUCAGAGUGAUCUGUAUACCAAGGGAACUGGAAAAGAUCCUGGAACAAAAGGAGAGGAGAAACGUGAAGCAGAAGAGAGUGGUGAAACUGUUCAUCAUGAAGAGAUGGAGUUGAGAAGAUCCUCCAGACAGAGAACAGUCCCUAGGAAACUGACUUACCCGACUUUUGGAAACCCAUUAGUCUCCGUCUUGCAUUCCAUCUUAAAUGCCUUAGACCAGGCAUUCUCCCAAGCCCUUGUCUAUGACACUGCCCCUUACAUAUGUCAGUUAGAGCCCUUGUCCUCUGAAACAGUGUAGAGAAUAGACUAUAAUCACAUGCAAGGAUGCAUGCAGGUUCAGGGGGAGUGGAUGUAACCCACUCAAUAUGAACACUGCCAAUAAAGGGUUAAUUAUCUGUUUCGUAGUAGCAGAGGCGCCCUGUGGAAAAAUACUGGGGUCAGACUUGCUUGAACAGAACAACAAAAGUCCCUGCAAGAGACACAUGGAGAGAACUAGUUAAAAAUAUUAACUUUCAGUUCUGUUAUAAGAUUUACAAGAACACAACUAAGUUUAUCAUUGAUUGAACAUCUGCAAUUGCCUGCUGAGGAUUCCUUUUUGUGUCGUUUUGUUUGAAUUCUCCGGUUGGUUUUUUUUCUGUGCUUGAUUCUGAUUGAGAAGAAUAGAACUUCGGCUGAGCCAGUGAACGAUUCACUACCCAUGAACAGUGAACUAACGCUACAGUGGAGAAGACGGAUCGGCACUGUAUCCCAUCUCUACUAAACUACAGAUAAGCUUAGAGAUCUCCACCAUAAUACUAAGAAAAAUCAUACUACCCGGGUAGAUGGACAUUGGACAUCCCUCUGCUAGAUUAUCAGUAGACACACAGGAAGCUGAACCAUCAAAAGUAUUCCGGAAUUGUAUCAAUAAAGUUUGUAGCAGUGUUAGUCAUAAUAGUGCAACCUAAAUCCAUUUUCGGUUCAGAUGCUAUGGGGUGAGCCAAAUGUAGUUGUACUGUUAUAAGAAAAUGGUCAGACAAAAUAGGGUUAUGUGAGCAGAUUACAACAUCAGUGACAUCAACACCAAAACCAGAUCUAAGAUGUGACCACAACAAUGUGGGAUCGAAAAUGUUUUGAGUGAAGCCUAUGGAUCCUAAGAUAUUCACAAAUGCAGAUGUAAGAGGAUUAUCUGCAUUUUCAUCAUGCAGGUUAAAGUCACCUUACAACACCACUUCGUCAAAGCUUAUAGCUACUGUAAGUGAAAGAGGAAUUCUGCCAAGUCAUGAACAAAGCUAGAGUAUGGGCCAGAACGUCUGUAGACAGUCACUAAGGCAAUGGGCUGAGAAAAAAGGCAGUGCCUACCAUCUUUGUAACUUAAGCCAGAUUCCUUCUUUAAACUUCAAAGCUAGCUAUCAGUAGCUUGCCAAAACUACCAAUAAAAUACUAGAUUGAUUCAGUUAGGUCAAAUAUAUAACUAGCUAGAUAAAAUAACAUGGAGCUGGAAAGUACUUAAUUUAUUAUUUGUUCUCUUUAUAAUUUGAGGCUGAGACAACACCUUGUUUCCCUAUCUGUGGGUGUUACCUGGAUGAUGGCAGAUGCAAUCUAUCUAGGCCACCUACUGUUUUUGUUUAUGCAGAAUCAUUUUAUACGAGAUUGCCAAAUUAAUUAUAGCUGUGCUAACGAAACUUAAAAAAAAUUUAAAAAAAAAAAAACCUUCAAUAAGCUCUGCCCUACUCAAACAUAAUUUGAUGACCCAUGCACACACACACAGACACACUUUAAGUAAGAGGAAGUCUAGGGUGCUAGCUAAGCCUAAAUUCCUUGUGCAUGAAAAUGAAGCCUGGAAAUGUUCUGUUGGGCUCUCACACCAGAAGCAGGGGUUAAAUUGGGGGUGGAUGCGGGUGAGCAGCGUCCACCCACCUUUGGUAAAUAAAUAUAUAAUUUUGACCGGCAGUUUUACAAUUAAUUAUGACAAUCCAGUCCAUUUUUCGUAUGCUUCAAUCCAUGUGUUACCUCUAGCCAGUUACUCGCUCAACCAAUCAAAAAUCAGAAGAAAGAAAACUCAGGAGGAACAGUCGUUUAUAUAGACAGGAACAGAAAGAAAAAUAUUGUUGAUUGUCUUGAUUGUUUGGAAGCGGACGCGGUAGGUAAUUUCAUUAACAUGUUAUUUCAUCUAUGCAACAUUUUGAAGAGAGAUGAGUAAACAGCUCCCACGAACGCCUGCUA